UCGUUCCCCCCCCACUACCCGCGAUCGCCGUCUUCUCCCCGCCUCUCUCUCUAUCCCCCCCCUCAAGGAACAUCUGCCAAGCAAGAAAGGGGAGAAAUCCUUCCCCCAGCCGUUUUAGAGGAUCGCCAGCGUGCCGAUUUUAUUUUACUUCGUCCAGGAGCGGAGAUGGAACCUCCCUUAUUCUUUUGCUGCGCCCGGCUUUGCUUUUAAAUUUUCAUCAUUAUUAGAAUUAUUAUCUCUCUUUCCCGUUCUUUUCGCUUCGCCUGGAUUUAUGACGCUCUUUUUGUUUCCGAUGGAUGGUUUCCAACGGGAGGGAAGCCCUUUUCCUGCCUCUCGCCUUUUUCCUUGAGUUACUUUUUUCCUUGACCUUUCCUGGCUUGGAGAAUUGAAUGUAACUUUUUGUGCGUGUGUGUGCGCGCGCGUGCCUGUGCGUGUGUGUGUGUGUUUUAAUUUUUUUUUUUUGCGCGCGUGCCUGUGCCUGCGUGUGUGUGUUUUAAUUUAAUUUUUUUUUUUAAAAAAAGCCAGCACCCUCCAACCCGCUCGCCUUGUCCGUGGGGGAGAGAACUAAGGGACACCCCCCCACUUCCCCUGCCGGCAAAAAGGGAGGAGACUGCCGUGGCCGUGUGUUACCGAGUGUGGGGAUUGUUCGUCUGUCUGCUCCGGACCUCAAUAUCCGUAGGUGUGUUUUGAAAUAUGGAGAAUAGUCUUGGAUGUGCCUGGGUACCGAAGCUGGCUUUUCUGCUCUUUGGGAUCUCUCUCCUCUCUCUGGAUCUGGAAGUCAGGGGAAGUAUCUGGCUGUCUGAACCAAUCUCUCAACAUCUGGGAUCUUAGGCUAGGUUGGGAGAAGCGUGUCAUCCCAUGGUGUAUUUCCAUCCCUGUGUCUAUUCCGGUGUUGUGUUAUUUCUUUAGCAUCAGUCUGUUUAACCUGGUAAUGUCUUGACUUGUGGCCACCAUUUGGCUAUAUUGGUUCUACACAACAGGAACAAGAUUGCUAAGUCAGCUACAUCGGCUCAGUCCAGGACCUAAGAGCAGAAGAUGGGGCCUUGCGAUGUCACAGGAGCAGAGCCUUGUGAUAUGUGAGAGAGGAGACUAUCAAGGCUUGAGGGCUAGAACUCCUUCUGGGACAGCUGGCUGCUGAAACAGGCACAUAAGACUCUACUCUCCAUCUUACUCCAAGUUGCAGGACGGGAACCAACCCCACUCUGCUGUCCAUCCUUACUGUUUGUUGGCAUGCUGAAGUUCUGCAACAAGAGACAUACAGAAACAUUUGCCCUGAGGAAGUGAGCCUUCGUUGGAAUGAAUGGGUGCAGAUGCAGGGCCAGUCUAUAAAGCCAUUGCGCACUGACACAUCUGCUUUCUCCUCCUUCAACAUGACCUGUCCUGGGAUUUGUCUUCUUGCCUGAAGACCUUGGGAAGAAUCCCCUGAGACUUCAGACUUGAUCCUGAGAUCUGACUACCCUGAUGGGAACUAUUAGGACUGGAGCAUCCAGCUUGCAUGAUGCGGGUCUCUAGUUUUAUUUUGUUUUCUUUCUCUCUUAGUUGUGUGUGCAUGAAGUUGUGCAAUAAGAUCCCAAUCCUAUGCAGCCUUACCCAAGAGUAAGCCUUAUGAAACACAAUGAGGCUUUUACUUCUGAGCAGGCGAAGGUG
ensembl:lncRNA